UGAAUAUAACCAGUCUACCAUUUGUAACUUGGGCACUUCCAAUUAUUUUUUUCUUCUCAAAGAUGAAGAUUAUGAGUGAGUAUUUGUGUGGUGUGGUGUGUGUGUGAUAUGACUAAGAAAUUUGUCUAUUAAGAGUCAGAAACUAAUAGAAUAUUGGGUUGCUAUUUCUGUACCCAGCCUAAAAAUUUAUUUUAAUUGUGAUUACCUUUAAUAUGGGGAUUCAGAUCAUCACACAAAGGUUGUUUUGUAAAUUUGACAACUAACAGCUCAGUAAAUGAAUAUUGAGA
rnacentral:lncRNA from 1 species